rnacentral:tRNA from 1 species
AGGGCUAUAGCUCAGCGGUAGAGCGCCUCGUUUAUACCGAGAAUGUCUACGGUUCGAAUCCGUAUAGCCCUA